rnacentral:lncRNA from 1 species
CUAGAAAGAUGCUGAUAUCACCAAGAGUCUUUGGCGAUCAGGAAGAGUUCAAACGGCGGCGAGAAGGUUAAAAGACCUGUUUGAUGAAGCAGGUCGAGUGGAGCGGUGUUUAAGCCAGUAACUGAGUUACAGUUCAUUGCUUGAGGGAUAUUUUUACGAUAAGGUUAAUUGCCUUAAGAUUACGAAUUGUUAAGUGUUUGUUGCUUAGGGCUGAAGUGAUCCGAAGCAGUUAAGUCAAAGGUCGUACC